GGCGGAUGUAGUCAAGUGAUAGGGAUUG
rnacentral:tRNA from 1 species